CCUGGCCCGUUUCAGCAGGCCAAGCCCAUCUCCAGCACACGUUGGGCCCAGGUCGGCCUUGCUUCGUUAGGCCCCGCCCAGCCCUAGCACCGCUUCUGACCGGCCCAGCACGCCGCUGCUACUCAACUAGGUGAGCCCCGACGAUGACUCGAGCUAAGGCAUCGUCGCAUCGUCCCCAAUUACCACCAAUUUGCCGGUCGUAGGGCAUUUCUUUAGUAAAAGAGCCUCGCCACUUUUUUGGGCUUUAGCCAGCCGUCAGAGUCCGACGAGGACUCGGCCGGACUCGGCCCCUCCUUUGCCGGACUCGGUCCAAGUUGCAUGGAUGCCAGCCCCUGAGUUAACUUAGUGGGUGGCUCGGUCGUCUUCCCCACCUUCCCUUUUGCAGCACCAACCCACUGCGACUGCAUCCGAAUGGUUGCCAUCCACGGCCCAAAGACUGGUCGGCCCUCCUGCUCCACCGUACCUCCCUC
rnacentral:lncRNA from 1 species